AUUGAACGCUGGCGGCAUGCCUUACACAUGCAAGUCGAACGGCAACGCGCCCUCGGUUCUCGCCGCGAGUCGCGCGCGGGUGUGUUAUACAGGAGCGCGUCCGCUCUCGGGGGGUAUCGCGGCGCAAGCUUUGCUAAUAUCGCAUACGCGCUCCGGAUGUGAGACGGGGGCAUCAACGGCCCGCGCGGACUUUGCGGGCGAUGGCAGAUUAGCUAGUUGGUGGGAUAAAAGCUUACCAAGGCGACGAUCUGUAGCUGGUCUGAGAGGAUGAUCAGCCACACUGGGACUGAGACACGGCCCAGACUCCUACGGGAGGCAGCAGUGGGGAAUUUUGGACAAUGGGCGAAAGCCUGAUCCAGCCAUGCCGCGUGCAGGAUGAAGGCCUUCGGGUUGUAAAGUGCUUUUGUACGGAACGAAAAGGCUUGUGUUAAUACAGGGGUGUCAUGACGGUACCGGAAGAAUAAGCACCGGCUAACUACGUG
rnacentral:rRNA from 1 species